rfam:Erysipelotrichaceae bacterium NYT-BL-F16 NODE_22_length_25436_cov_135.1_ID_43, whole genome shotgun sequence.
GGUCCAAUGGCGCAAUUGGUUAGCGUACCUCCCUGUCACGGAGGGGGUUGCGGGUUCGAGUCCCGUUUGGACCG